rnacentral:rRNA from 1 species
AAGUCGAACGGUAACAGGAAACAGCUUGCUGUUUCGCUGACGAGUGGCGGACGGGUGAGUAAUGUCUGGGAAACUGCCUGAUGGAGGGGGAUAACUACUGGAAACGGUAGCUAAUACCGCAUAAUGUCGCAAGACCAAAGAGGGGGACCUUAGGGCCUCUUGCCAUCGGAUGUGCCCAGAUGGGAUUAGCUUGUUGGUGGGGUAACGGCUCACCAAGGCGACGAUCCCUAGCUGGUCUGAGAGGAUGACCAGCCACACUGGAACUGAGACACGGUCCAGACUCCUACGGGAGGCAGCAGUGGGGAAUAUUGCACAAUGGGCGCAAGCCUGAUGCAGCCAUGCCGCGUGUAUGAAGAAGGCCUUCGGGUUGUAAAGUACUUUCAGCGGGGAGGAAGGGAGUAAAGUUAAUACCUUUGCUCAUUGACGUUAUCCGCAGAAGAAGCACCGGCUAACUCCGUGCCAGCAGCCGCGGUAAUACGGAGGGUGCAAGCGUUAAUCGGAAUUACUGGGCGUAAAGCGCACGCAGGCGGUUUGUUAAGUCAGAUGUGAAAUCCCCGGGCUCAACCUGGGAACUGCAUCUGAUACUGGCAAGCUUGAGUCUCGUAGAGGGGGGUAGAAUUCCAGGUGUAGCGGUGAAAUGCGUAGAGAUCUGGAGGAAUACCGGUGGCGAAGGCGGCCCCCUGGACGAAGACUGACGCUCAGGUGCGAAAGCGUGGGGAGCAAACAGGAUUAGAUACCCUGGUAGUCCACGCCGUAAACGAUGUCGACUUGGAGGUUGUGCCCUUGAGGCGUGGCUUCCGGAGCUAACGCGUUAAGUCGACCGCCUGGGGAGUACGGCCGCAAGGUUAAAACUCAAAUGAAUUGACGGGGGCCCGCACAAGCGGUGGAGCAUGUGGUUUAAUUCGAUGCAACGCGAAGAACCUUACCUGGUCUUGACAUCCACGGAAGUUUUCAGAGAUGAGAAUGUGCCUUCGGGAACCGUGAGACAGGUGCUGCAUGGCUGUCGUCAGCUCGUGUUGUGAAAUGUUGGGUUAAGUCCCGCAACGAGCGCAACCCUUAUCCUUUGUUGCCAGCGGUCCGGCCGGGAACUCAAAGGAGACUGCCAGUGAUAAACUGGAGGAAGGUGGGGAUGACGUCAAGUCAUCAUGGCCCUUACGACCAGGGCUACACACGUGCUACAAUGGCGCAUACAAAGAGAAGCGACCUCGCGAGAGCAAGCGGACCUCAUAAAGUGCGUCGUAGUCCGGAUUGGAGUCUGCAACUCGACUCCAUGAAGUCGGAAUCGCUAGUAAUCGUGGAUCAGAAUGCCACGGUGAAUACGUUCCCGGGCCUUGUACACACCGCCCGUCACACCAUGGGAGUGGGUUGCAAAAGAAGUAGGUAGCUUAACCUUCGGGAGGGCGCUUACCACUUUGUGAUUCAUGACUGGGGUGAAGUCGUAACAAGGUAACCGUAGGGGAACCUGCGGUUGGAUCACCUCCUUACCUUAAAGAAGC